rnacentral:rRNA from 1 species
GACGAACGCUGGCGGCGUGCUUAACACAUGCAAGUCGAACGGAAAGGCCCAGCUUGCUGGGUGCUCGAGUGGCGAACGGGUGAGUAACACGUGGGUGAUCUGCCCCUAACUUCGGGAUAAGCUUGGGAAACUGGGUCUAAUACCGGAUAGGACAAUCGUUUAGUGUCGGUUGUGGAAAGUUUUUUCGGUUAGGGAUGAGCCCGCGGCCUAUCAGCUUGUUGGUGGGGUAAUGGCUUACCAAGGCGUCGACGGGUAGCCGGCCUGAGAGGGUGGACGGCCACAUUGGGACUGAGAUACGGCCCAGACUCCUACGGGAGGCAGCAGUGGGGAAUAUUGCACAAUGGGCGCAAGCCUGAUGCAGCGACGCCGCGUGGGGGAUGACGGCCUUCGGGUUGUAAACCUCUUUCGACAGGGACGAAGCUUUGGUGACGGUACCUGUAUAAGAAGCACCGGCUAACUACGUG